CCGUGAGUCUGAGAAUGACGAGAAAAGACUCGACUUCGAAUCCCUGAAGCGCCCAAAUUGCAUCCGAAAAGCCAUGAAGGAAUCAAAUUUUAACAAGGGAAAACUGCUAAUUCAUGAAAUUCUUUAAACACAAAAUUAACGUUCAACUUUGACAACUAAAUGAUAUGCAACUUCAAAUCUCAAAACCUCACGUUAACUCUAAGUACUGACAUGGGAGUAAACCACAACAAAUCCUGUGAAAUUGCCACUAAAUAGCCAUAUGAUUCCAACUUAUUAAAAGAAAUAUGUGAGGAACUGUACUAGGCUGAGACAUUCUCAGAGCAAAAAAACCAGAUUUGACUUUCAUUUGAAAUCCCUCAUUGAAACAAAUCAUCACAUUAACAAAAGGAAAAGGUUGAACAACAAACUUCUGAAGUUACUAAACUAUGCUUCAAACCAUAAGAAAGCAGGUUUUAAAAACCAAAUGGAAGGCAAAACAUGGAUCAAUUGUGUUGUACCCAAAAAUCUGAAUUAAAACAUUUGAACCAUGACCAUUAAAGGCACAUCCACAGACAAAUAGUUUCAACCAAUCAGCUCAGAGCCACAAUCCUCAAUUAAUACACAUUAAAAGGUCUAAACAAUUUUGAAUCACUACAUUCGAGCAAGCUAAAAUCCAAACCUUAAAAUGAAAUAGAACAUUAAUGAUAUGGAUGACUAUAUAUGGUGAACUAAACUGAAGAACACAUGAAGAAAUUGUAAUGAACUAUAACAUCAUUUGACAAAGAAAAACGUAGCAAUUAUCAUUUCUCUUCAAGCUUGGGUACAUGACUUUCAUCUUUGCAUUUCACAUGCUACUCAAGGGGUCAGUACAUACCUGAAUAUAGCAAAAAUAGAAUUAGAAACCAAAGUGGAGGUCCAGAAGAAAACAACAACAACAAUAAACAGAAGGAGCAAUAACUCAACAGGAGAAAUAGCAGCAGAAACUAGCUCAACUCAGCAAUAAAACAGCGUUUUCCAAAUAGUAAACCCAAACCAGCUUUAAAAUAUCCAGAAUUCAACCCAUUUUUAGCCCAGAAUGCAAAACUAUAAAAGGUUCAGUGAUUUCAACUGACUAUUAGGAUUAGAGUAACCAAAACCCAAGCAAAAUUUUUAGUAGUUUCUCAGAAAAUCCCAGAAUUAUAAGUUAUUUCAGAAUUUCUUCAAGGCAGCAGUUGUUUUUGAUUUUUCUGGAUUUUUAUC
rnacentral:lncRNA from 1 species